rnacentral:lncRNA from 1 species
GCCUGGGCAACAUAGGGAGACCCUGUCUCUACAAAAAAAAUACAAAAAGUUAGCCAGACGUGGUGGCACAUACCUGUAGCCCCAGCUACUUGGGAGGCUGCGGUGAGAAGAUCCCUUGAGCCUGGGGGGUCAAGGCUGCAGUGAGCUGUGGUUGUGCCACUGUACUCCAGCCUGAGUGACAGAGUGAGACCCUGUCUCAAAAAAAAAAAAAGAAAAGAAAAAGAACUGGACCAUGGCCUCUUGAUCCCACCCUGGGCCUGGGGAGUUCUACCCCCAGCUCCUUCCAGUGGCAGUCCUCCCCUAAGCCAGUCCCAGAGGAAUGCCUCCCUCCCAGACCUGCUCCAGACUUCGCUGCAACUAGGGAGCCAAGGCUGGCAUGCCCUGAGAAGGCCUCAGCAAGCGAUGCAAGAGAGGCUAUGGCACUUCUGUUCUCCUGAAAAGUUUUGGGAAUGGGAGAGCGCCUCCUUCUCUCUGGGCUGAGCUAUGUGACCCAGUGGCAGGGGCCUUGAACCACCGCUGGUUAGCCUCUGCCUCCCUUUCCACUGCCCCAGUGCAGUUCCAGAUGGAGACUCCUCUCAGUCUCCUCUCAGUCUCCUGCUGUGGCCCCGCUUGGCCCAGCAUGGAACAGAGUUCGUGGAAGGCGAUCAUUUCUGCUGCAUUUGCCACAGCUCAUGUUUCCCCUAAGAAGGUUUAGCGGAGAACUUGACUUAAGACUGCUGAGGGCAAAGCAGCCAGCCCGGCAGGGGUGGGAGGGCUGGACAGCAGAGGGGAGGCAGGAUAACCACUGAGCCAGGAACCAGGAGGGGAGGAGCCAUCUUAUCCACCCAAGGACACCAGAGGAGUGUUCUCUCCAGGAGGCUCCAGGCCUUAUAGCCCUGGGUCUUAACCCCUGCCGCAGCCCUCGCUCCAGUGUCUCUCUCCCCAGUCUUUUCAUCCCUCUCCAUCCCUUUCUUGAUCUCCGUACACACUCAUACCACCCACCCUCCCUCCCUCUCUUCUCCCACUUCCCCUCUCUCCUUUCUCACCAUCUCUCCUCAUUAUGCCUUCUCUACUCGAUCACCCCUUUGCAGAGAAACCUUUCCUCCUUCUUGCUCUUUUCCAGUUGAAUUUCCUCGCCCCGUUGUCCCAGGUGGCUGGACAUGCAGCAGAAGGGAACUGGGGAGACUCUCGCACUGCCAAUCAUUUCUCAAAACUCAGGUUCCAGUUUGAGACCCGCCUGGCCAACAUGGUGAAACCCCAUCUCUACAAAAAAUACAAAAAUUAGCCGGGCAAGGUAGCGCACCUGUAGUCCCAGGUACUCGGGAGACUGAGGCAUGAGAAUCCCUUGAAACUGGGAGGCGGAAGUUGCAGUGAGCUGUGAUCGUGCCACUGCACUCCAGCCUGGUUGACAGAGCAACAUGCUAUCUCUAAAACAAACAAACAAACAAAAACUCAGGUUCCCACACCCUCUAAACCCUGCCUGCUCUCAGGCUACAGAGACCUCUCCAGGAGGCUGAAGUGCCCUUACCCCGACCAUCUGACCAGCCACCGCCCCAUGCCCGUGCCCCACCGAGGGCGGAGGCUGCUCACUGCUCUGUUUUAUCUCUGGCCUCUGAUCCUGCAUUCUUGUGCCAGGGCUUAGACCCAGGGCAAGGUCUUAGACCCAGGGCAGGGGUAGGGUUAAAGGCUUUCAACCCAGGGGCCAGUGCCUUAAUUCAUGCAACAAAUGUUUUCUGGCUGUGUGCUUUAUUCAUGUG